ACUCUCUUAGAAAAAUGUUCACACUGGACUAUGAACAUAUAUUUUCGUCACGAAAUCGAAAAUAUAUUUCAUGAAAUCGUGUACAAAUUUUUCACAAUUUUUGAAUAUAAGUCUUCGUAAAAAUUGCAAGUGAAGUUUUAUUUCACAUUUGAUGAAGUGUGAACAUAUAUUUCACACUAAAGGAGCGUUUUUAUAUGGGAUGGACGAAACACUUUGUCUAUGUUGGCGCAAUCUCUUCCCACUCUUCCCACCCUGCGCAAUCCCACCACGAAAAAUAAAAAAAAAUGAAGGGCGUCUCUUUCUUUUCUUCUUUCUUCUUAUAUUUCUUUAUCUUUCUUUCUUUUCCUUAUGCUAUAUUCCAUUAUUUCUAUAUGCCCGCUGCCGUCAGUAAGCCUUUGUAAUCAAAAGAGGCAAAGUCAAAUGUUAACAAAGAAAUAAACCCGAAAACAACCCUCAUAUUGCUACAGCGUUUGAAAAUCGCUUGAAAGCAAGAUGUUCAAAUUCGUUAUUUCAAAGGUAUGCAUCGCGAAGCUGUCAAAUGUUAGCACUACAUAUAUUUCCCUACCUUAUUUGUAAAAAUUAUCUUCCCCUACCCGUCGGCAGUAUAGCUCCAAGACCUUGAAAACACCCCUUUGUCUACAUUGAAUUUCCCCCAAAUUUUAUUCCAGUAAAAUCUUGUCACACACAGUUGAGCUUCAUUCUUAUAGUUUUCCACAUUUCAAAAAUGGUCUUGUGUCGUGUUUCUUAUUUGAUGACUCGUAAAAAGAGUUUGUGCGAGUGUUCGUCUAUGGAUGACAUAUGCUUGAUCAAGCUUCGUCGAAGUGUCUCGUCGAUAAAGUUCUGUUGAUUUUGGAGACGGCUGAUGGAUUUGAAGUUGAAGACGAACUCUUUUUCAGUGUCUAUGUGAGUAACACUGAGGAACAUUCUUUCUUUGUAAAAAAAAAAUUUGAUAUAACAGAGCCGCAUCCAACACCAAGUGUCGAAAAUUCUCCGUCGGAUGGAGCCAAGGAGAAGGGCCUAUUUGACGACUUGAGAAAAAUAAUCGAAACGUCAGGAAGGCCCUCAACGGGAAGAACGGGAGUU